AAUUACAUACAUUUCCGGUAUUUUUUAUUGCACAAAUGAGAUAUGAAAUAACAUAUAAAUACUCUUUAAAAAUUGAAAAAUCAACCAGUUAUGACUCGUCGUACGACCUGCGUAAUCGAUUUUACUCCCCAGGAAGAACGAAAAUAUUGACAAGAUGAAGAAAGAGACAAGAUUUGUUAUUUUCAUUACUUUUAUUAUGCUAUGGCUGUUUUGUUAUGCUAUUGCGGGUGUGAAUAGAAAAGGUUGCCGUGGAAAGUCUAGAGGCUGUAAGAAGGAUUAUGAUUGCUGUCUUUUUUUGAAAUGCUAUAAUAGGAAGUGUGUGUCAGAUGACUCAUUUGGAAAAAAGUAAACUAGAUAACAGACCUCUUUGUCCUGGAUUAUAUCUACCAAUUAUGCAAGAAUAAUGAUAUACUAGAAUGAUAAUAUCGCAUAAUAUCCUUAUUUCUUGUAUCUGACUAUGGUGCUAUUUCUCUUUAUAUUUAUAAAAUAAAAAAGAGAAUUUUUCUGUUUUAACUUUAAAUAAAUACAUUCAAGAGACUAUUAAUAUUCUCCGUCUUAUUUAUUAA